rnacentral:tRNA from 1 species
GAGGAGUUAGUUAAAUAUAACAUUACCUUGUCAAGGCAAAAUUACUAGUGAAACCCUUGUACCCCUCU